UAUGACGAGCAGUCGCUGCUGUUCGGUUUAACCGGAUGGUAGAGGAAAGUCGAGACACGCACACCGGGUGUCCAUAAAGGCAUUUGGUGUAGAAUGGUGCCCGGCGCAAGCCGGGGCAGGGCGACCUGACGACGGUCAAAGAAACCCAAUGGGUUUUCAGUAGCUGUAAAGUGCCACAGAAACUAAGUCAUCGGGUAACCGGUGAGUGCAAGGGUAAACUCCGCCAGCGUGCAACCCAAAUAGGCAGCCUUUGAGCUGCGGGUAGGGGCACCCCCGGGAGGGGGAGGUGAACCGCAAGGUUUGCCUAGAUAGAUGACUGCUGAAACAGAAUCUCGCUUACGGUC
rnacentral:RNase_P_RNA from 2 species